rnacentral:tRNA from 1 species
GGGGCUAUAGCUCAGAUGGUAGAGCGUCUGCUUUGCACGCAGAUGGUCAGCGGUUCGAUUCCGCUUAGCUCCA